rnacentral:rRNA from 1 species
UACCUGCAGCCCGAGUGGUGCUCGUUAUUAUUGGGUCUAAAACGUCCGUAGUCGGUUGAGUAGAUGCCCGGGUAAAUCGCGGCGCUUAACGUCGCGAAUUCCGGGUAGACCGCUCGACUAGGGAUUGGGGAGAGGUGCAUAGUACUCUGAGGGUAGGGGUAAAAUCCUGUAAUCCUUGGGGGACUACCAGUGGCGAAGGCGAUGCACUAGAACAAGUCCGACGAUCAGGGACGAAGCCCUGGGGCGCAAACGGG